AUACGGAGGGUGCAAGCGUUGUUCGGAUUUACUGGGCGUAAAGAGAGUGUAGGUUGUUUAUUAAGUCGGAUGCGAAAUCCCGGGGCUCAACCUCGGAACUGCAUUCGAUACUGGUAGACUAGAGUUCGGGAGGGGUAAGCGGAAUUCCGUGUGUAGCAGUGAAAUGCGUAGAUAUACGGAGGAACACCUGAGGCGAAGGCGGCUUACUGGACCGAUACUGACACUGAGACUCGAAAGCGUGGGUAGCAAACAGGAUUAGAAACCCGGGUAGUCC
rnacentral:rRNA from 1 species